rnacentral:snoRNA from 1 species
UUCAAAUGAUGAAUUGCCAUGCUAAUACUGAGGGAUCUCAAGGAUCUCGCUGAGUUGAAACUCUCAAUAACUGAUUUUUUUUUUAAUUUCUUUUAACUAUAACUUAAUGUAU